GAUGAACGCUGGCGGCGUGCCUAAUACAUGCAAGUCGAGCGAACGGACGAGAAGCUUGCUUCUCUGAUGUUAGCGGCGGACGGGUGAGUAACACGUGUAUAACCUCCCUAUCAGACUGGGAUAACUUCGGGACACCGGAUCUAAUACCGGAUAAGAUUUUGAACCGCAUGGUUCAAAAGUGAAAGACGGUCUUGCUGUCACUUAUAGAUGGAUCCACGCUGCAUUAGCUAGUUGGUAAGGUAACGGCUUACCAAGGCAACGAUGCAUAGCCGACCUGAGAGGGUGAUCGGCCACACUGGAACUGAGACACGGUCCAGACUCCUACGGGAGGCAGCAGUAGGGAAUCUUCCGCAAUGGGCGAAAGCCUGACGGAGCAAGGCCGCGUGAGUGAUGAAGGUCUUCGGAUCGUAAAACUCUGUUAUUAGGGAAGAACAUAUGUGUAAGUAACUGUGCACAUCUUGACGGUACCUAAUCAGAAAGCCACGGCUAACUACGUG
rnacentral:rRNA from 1 species